rnacentral:rRNA from 1 species
UACAGAGGUGGCAAGCGUUGUUCGGAAUUACUGGGCGUAAAGGGCGCGUAGGCGGCCUUCUAAGUCAGACGUGAAAUCCCCCGGCUUAACCUGGGAACUGCGUCUGAUACUGGGAGGCUUGAGUGCGGGAGAGGGAUGUGGAAUUCCAGGUGUAGCGGUGAAAUGCGUAGAUAUCUGGAGGAACACCGGUGGCGAAGGCGGCAUCCUGGACCGACACUGACGCUGAGGCGCGAAAGCUAGGGUAGCAAACGGG